GGCCUCAUGGCUUAGUGGUUAUAGCACCGGCUAAUGUUUGCACCUUGUUUAAAAUAGUUUAUGCCGCUGGCGUGGUUCGAAUCCCACUGAGGUCA